AUUGAACGCUGGCGGCAGGCCUAACACAUGCAAGUCGAGCGAGCGGCGGACGGGUGAGUAAUGUCUGGGAAACUGCCUGAUGGAGGGGGAUAACUCCUGGAAACGGUAGCUAAUACCGCAUACCAUCAGCUUUUCCCCGUUGGGAUUAGCUCGUAGGGGGGGUAACGGCUCACCUAGGCGACGAUCCCUAGCUGGUCUGAGAGGAUGACCAGCCACACUGGAACUGAGACACGGUCCAGACUCCUACGGGAGGCAGAAGUGGGGAAUAGUGCACAAUGGGCGCAAGCCUGAUGCAGCCAUGCCGCGUGUGUGAAGAAGGCCUUCGGGUUGUAAAGCACUUUCAGCGGGGAGGCGUUACCCGCAGAAGAAGCACCGGCUAACUCCGUGCCAGCAGCCGCGGUAAUUC
rnacentral:rRNA from 1 species